rnacentral:rRNA from 1 species
GACGAACGCUGGCGGCGUGCUUAACACAUGCAAGUCGAGCGGAAAGGCCCUUUCGGGGGUACUCGAGCGGCGAACGGGCGAGUAACACGUGAGUAAUCUGCCCUUCACUCUGGGAUAGCCACCGGAAACGGUGAUUAAUACCGGAUACGCCCAAUCCCUGCAUGGGGUGUUGGUGGAAACUUUUUGGGUGGGGGAUGUGCUCGCGGCCUAUCAGCUUGUUGGUGGGGUAAUGGCCUACCAAGGCUUCGACGGGUAGCCGGGCUGAGAGGGUGGCCGGCCACGCUGUGACUGAGAUACGGCCCGGUGUCCUACGGUAGGCAGGAGUGGGGAAUAUUGGACAGUGGGCGGAUGCCUGAGCCAGCAACGCCACGUGGAGGACGACUGCCUGCGGGUUGUAAACCUCUGUCAGCACCGACAAAGCGAUCCUUUUGGGGAGUGACGGUAGGUGCAUAAGAAGGACCGGCCAUCUGCGAGCCAGCCGCCGCCGUAAUAC